UACGGAGGGUGCGAGCGUUACUCGGAAUUACUGGGCGUAAAGCGUGCGUAGGCGGUUCGUUAAGUCAGAUGUGAAAGCCCCGGGCUCAACCUGGGAAUGGCAUUUGAAACUGGCGGGCUGGAGUGUGGCAGAGGGGGGUGGAAUUCCACGUGUAGCAGUGAAAUGCGUAGAGAUGUGGAGGAACACCGAUGGCGAAAGCGACUCUCUGGACGGCAACUGACGCUGAGGCACGAAAGCGUGGGGAGCAAACAGG
rnacentral:rRNA from 1 species